rnacentral:rRNA from 1 species
UACGUAGGUGGCAAGCGUUGUCCGGAAUUAUUGGGCGUAAAGCGCGCGCAGGCGGUCCUUUAAGUCUGAUGUGAAAGCCCACGGCUCAACCGUGGAGGGUCAUUGGAAACUGGGGGACUUGAGUACAGAAGAGAAGAGUGGAAUUCCUGGUGUAGCGGUGAAAUGCGCAGAUAUCAGGAAGAACACCCGUGGCUAAGGCGGCUCUCUAGUACGGUACUGACGCUGAGACGCGAAAGCGUGGGGAGCGAACAGG